rnacentral:rRNA from 1 species
AUGUUGGAGCUGCCCCUGGUGAAGGGGGACCCCUUCCACCAUGUCAUGGAGGCGAUCCUCGACCUGUCCGAUGUGGCCCACGUCGUGUGCACCACAAGGGGCUUGAACCUCCUGGCCGUGGACACCAAACACUUAGCGAUCGUCUCGCUCCUCUUCCCCGCCGAGGACUUCAAGGGCUACACCUGCGACGAGUACAUCUCCAUUGGGAUCCCAAUCCGCGACUUGGUCAAUGCCAUCCGCUGCGGCGACGACAAAGACACCAUCACCCUCAAGGUCGGCGAAGAAAACUUCGGCACCAUUACCUUAUCAUUCGUGUCGCCCGAGAAGAACACUGUGGAUUACGAAUUCCGGCUUGUGGAUGCCAAACUCGAGCGCUUUCGACUCCCAGAUAGGCAUUUUUUGAGAUCCAAGUACCAGGGCUCUGUCAAAAUGCCAUCUGUGGAGUUUAGGCGGAUCUGCAAGUGCCUCAGUAACUUCGGAGAUGAAUAUGGUGUCAUCUCGGUGACUGACGAGGACCUCACAUACUUUGCUAAGGGAACAGAUGGGGACGUCUACGUGGAGUACAAGCAGCAAGAAGAAGAUACUACUAUCUUUAAAAUAGAUGUGCGAGAACCAGUUAGACUGGCCUUUAAUCCGAAGUACUUGAACACCUUCGCCAAGGUGUUCACCCUCUCUGGUCAAGUGAAGCUCUUUCUCUCGAAGACACAUCCCCUCAUGGUCGAAUGCAAAAUUGGACAGAAGGGCCGCAUCAGAUGUUUCGUGGCACCAAAGGUGGAACCAGAGUUCCAAGGGGAAGAGGAAAAGAAAGAGGCCCAAAAAGAAGAAGUUAUCAAUGUAGGCAAGAUGGAAUCUGAUACCGAUGCAAACAAGAAUAAGAAGAGAAAGAGAAAGCUAACUGAUGACUAG